UUUUACAAUGGAGAGUUUGAUCCUGGCUCAGGAUGAACGCUAGCUACAGGCUUAACACAUGCAAGUCGAGGGGAAACGACGGGGAAGCUUGCUUCCCCGGGCGUCGACCGGCGCACGGGUGAGUAACGCGUAUCCAACCUGCCUCUGACUAAGGGAUAACCCGGCGAAAGUCGGACUAAUACCUCAUGGCAUCGUCUGCGGGCAUCCAACGACGAUUAAAGAUUUCAUCGGUCAGAGAUG
rnacentral:rRNA from 1 species